UACGGAGGGGGCGAGCGUUUAUUCGGAAUUAUUGGGCGUAAAGGGCGCGUAGGCGGCUUGACAAGUCAAAGGUGAAAUCCCUCGGCUCAACUGAGGAACUGCCUUUGAAACUGUCUGGCUUGAGGCCGGGAGGGGGUAGCGGAAUUCCCAGUGUAGUGGUGAAAUGCGCAGAUAUCAGGAGGAACACCGGUGGCGAAGGCGGGGUCUCUGGGCCGUAACUGACGCUGAGGAGCGAAAAGCAUGGGGGAGCGAACAGG
rnacentral:rRNA from 1 species